rnacentral:rRNA from 1 species
CCUACGGGAGGCAGCAGUGAGGAAUAUUGGUCAAUGGACGAGAGUCUGAACCAGCCAAGUCGCGUGAAGGAUGACUGCCCUAUGGGUUGUAAACUUCUUUUAUAUGAGAAUAAACUGUUCCACGUGUGGUAUUUUGUAUGUACCAUAUGAAUAAGGAUCGGCUAACUCCGUGCCAGCAGCCGCGGUAAUACGGAGGAUCCGAGCGUUAUCCGGAUUUAUUGGGUUUACAGGGUGCGUAGGUGGAUUGUUAAGUCAGUGGUGAAAGUUUGCGGCUCAACCGUAAAAUUGCAGUUGAAACUGGCAGUCUUGAGUACAGUAGAGGUAGGCGGAAUUGAUGGUGUAGCGGUGAAAUGCUUAGAGAUC